AUGCACGCUAGCGGCAGGCCUAACACAUGCAAGUCGCGGGAGAAGCCCUUUCGGGGGCCGAAACCGGCGCACGGGUGCGUAACGCGUAUGCAACCUACCUUUCACAGGGGGAUAGCCCGAAGAAAUUUGGAUUAAUACCCCAUAAUAUUAUUGGAUGGCAUCAUUUGAUAAUUAAAACUGCGGUGGUGAAAGAUGGGCAUGCGUCCUAUUAGCUAGUUGGAGUGGUAACGGCACCCCAAGGCUACGAUAGGUAGGGGUCCUGAGAGGGAGAUCCCCCACACUGGUACUGAGACAGGGACCAGACUCCUACGGGAGGCAGCAGUGAGGAAUAUUGGUCAAUGGUCGGAAGACUGAACCAGCCAUGCCGCGUGCAGGAAGAAUGCCUUAUGGGUUGUAAACUGCUUUUAUAUGGGAAGAAUAAGGCGUACGUGUACGUUGAUGACGGUACCAUAUGAAUAAGCAUCGGCUAACUCCGUG
rnacentral:rRNA from 1 species